GGACUACUAGGGUAUCUAAUCCUGUUUGCUCCCCACGCUUUCGCGCCUCAGCGUCAGUUGCGAGCCAGAAAGCCGCCUUCGCCUCUGGUGUUCUUCCUAAUAUCUACGAAUUUCACCUCUACACUAGGAAUUCCACUUUCCUCUCUCGCACUCAAGUCUUCCAGUAUGAAACGCACCUCCUAGGUUAAGCCCAGGGCUUUCACGCCUCACUUAAAAAACCACCUACGCGCCCUUUACGCCCAGUCAUUCCGAACAACGCUAGCCCCCUCCGUCUUACCGCGGCGGCUGGCAC
rnacentral:rRNA from 1 species